AUUGAACGCUGGCGGCAGGCCUAACACAUGCAAGUCGAGCGAAUGAAGGGAGCUUGCUCCUGGAUUCAGCGGCGGACGGGUGAGUAAUGCCUAGGAAUCUGACUGGUAGUGGGGGAUAACGUCCGGAAGCGGGAGCUAAUACCGCAUGCGACAUGAGGGAGAAAGUGGGGGAUCUUUGGACCUAACGCUAUCAGCUGAGCCUAGGUCGUAUUAGCUAGUUGGUGGGGUAAAGGCCUACCAAGGCGACGAUCCGUAACUGGUCUGAGAGGAUGAUCAGUCACACUGGAACUGAGACACGGUCCAGACUCCUACGGGAGGCAGCAGUGGGGAAUAUUGGACAAUGGGCGAAAGCCUGAUCCAGCCAUGCCGCGUGUGUGAAGAAGGUCUUCGGAUUGUAAAGCACUUUUAUUUGGGAGGAAGGGCAGUAAGUUUAUACCUUGCUGUUUUGACGUUACCAACAGAAUAAGCACCGGCUAACUUCGUG
rnacentral:rRNA from 1 species